ACAAUGGAUGAGUUCAACUUGAGUAGUUUUGACAGGGGUCGGAAAUUGUGGGUUGUCUGCCGAGUCAUAUGUGUCUCUCUGCUGGCAGUACAGUCAUUGUGGAGCCAAGUGAAUCUCUAACAGUGCCUAGGACAGUUAUGGUGGGAUGGACAGUAACACCAUUGUGGGGCGAUGGUUGGGUCCCAGUGAGAGUCAUUAACCCCUCCCAUAAACCAGAGACUCUCAGAUACAACUGCAAGAUCACUGACGUGUCUCCCUGUGUCACCCUAGAAGACUUUGACAUCGAUUAUCUGUAUGAAAAUGACAAAACUGACAAUGUGAAAUGCAAUGUGACUAAGACUGCUGAUCAGAGUGACACUGCUAGCGAGAAAAGUUUGACUGUUGACUCUGAAUGCCAUCUACACAGACCUACCAGUUCAGCCCUGCGUGACUUCAGACUGCAGGACAUUGACUCGAGUGAGCUUUCUCCAUUCUGGAAAACAAAAUUAGUUGAUUUGGUGGCCAAGAAUGAAUCCAUCUUCUACUGUCAUAGUCUUGACUGUGGAAAGGCCAAACACUUUGUUCACUGGAUCCGGCUGAGUGACAGCAGACCACUCAGGGUGCCCUAUCAAUGGCUGUCCCCUUCCCACUCCAAGAAGUUAUGUUUAGCUCUGAAUGGAGGAGCGGGACAUCAUAAGGAAGUCUUCAGUGCAUCACCACUAGUACUGGUUUGGAAGAAAAAUGGAGAUCUGAGUCUUUGCACUGAUUUUCAUUGGCUGAAUGCAUGCACAAUUAAGGAUGUGCAUCCCUACCUCACCAGGCCAAUGCGUUGACUGCUCUCGGAGGAAAUGCAUUCUUUUUGACCAUGGACUUGACCUCUGGUUACUACAAUGUCGAGGUCCAUGAAGAAGACAAAAAGUUCACUGCAUUCACCUCUCCUUUCGGGCUGUAUGAAUACAACAGGCUUCCACAGGGUCUCUGAAACAGCCCAGCUACAUUCAUGCAGAUGAUGAUGGGCAUCUUUGGAGAUCAGAACUUCCUUAGCCUCCUUUGUUACCUUGAUGACAUUCUUGUCUUUGCUCCAAAUGAACAGGUGGCUUUGCAAAGGCUGGAGACUGUGUUUGAGAGGCUAAAGGUGCACAACUUCAAGCUUGCUCCCAAAAAGUGCCACUUCACACAAUCAUCUGUGAAGUUCUUGGGGUACAUUGUAACCAAGGAUGGCAUCUCCACUGACUCAGAGAAAGUAAGAGCUACAGUGGACAUCAGUGAGAAUGACUUGAUGGUCGAUAACACCAGCGUUCCCUCUCCCUCCAUGAUAAGAUCGUUUCUUGUAGGGAUGCACCGAUGCCGAUACUGGUAUUGGGUAUCGAUCCGAUACCAGGCAUGAGUACUCGUACUUGUACUCAUAAAAUGGCCAACGAUACCACGACACCGAUACACUUGACUCCAAGGUGGGCAGCGACGAGUCACGUCAGCAGUGUGGAACUAUUUUCAGGUGAAUGAGAGUGACAAAAACAAAGCAGAAUGCAAAUUAUGUCCAGCAAAAGUGUCCAGAGGAGGAACAAAAUCUACCACUUACAACACAAGCAACUUGAUUAAACAUUUGAAAUCCAAGCACGAUGCAGAAUAUAAAGAGUUCAUUCGCGACACCGACAAGAGACAACCAACUUUGCAGCAGACGCUGGCUAAGCAGGAGAAAAUGUCCAGAGACAACCCACGUGCGGUCAAAAUCACAGAUGCCCUUGCCGAGUAUACUUCCCUGGAUGACCAGCCACUGUCCGUGGUCAAAAAUUUGGGAUUCCGGUGUCUUCUCUGCACACUGAAACUGAGGUAUGAGAUUCCUAGCCAUACCCAUAUCACAGAUACAGUGCUACCGAAGCUGCACAACUUCGUGAAAAAACACAUCCACAACCUGUUGCAUGAUGUUAAAACUUUAAGCUUCACCACGGACAUUUGGAGCAGCAGCGUCAGCUCAGUGUCUCUCAUCAGCCUUACUGCACAGUCGAUUGAUGAUUAUUUUAAGCUGCAGAAGGCCAUACUGCAUGCAAAACAAUUCAGAGGUUCGCACACUGGCCAAGCCAUUGCAGAUGAGUUUGAUGUUAUGCUUCAGACGUGGGCCAUUAAUAAAAGUGCAGUUCAUGUUGUGCUACGAGAUAACGCGAAGAACAUGGUGAAAGCCAUGCGUGAUGCGGAGCUUCCGAUCCUCCCAUGUGUCGCACACACAUUGCAGCUGGCUGUAAACGAGGGGCUGCUGGCUCAGAGAAAUGUAGCCGAUGCAGUGGCAGUGGGACGAAAAAUUGUUAGACAUUUUAAACACUCCGCUUUAGCCUACUCCCAACUGGAGGACAUACAAGUGCAGCUCAACCAGCCUGUUAAAAGACUCCAACAGGAUGUUCCGACCCGCUGGAACAGCACUUAUUACAUGUUUCAGUCUCUCAUUGGGAAUAUUUGGGUCAGACUACGACCUUCCUGACAACUUCAUUGUCACCGCUCACCAGUGGUCACUUUUUGAGAAAAUUUUGUCUGUGCUUGCUCCGUUUGAGGAACUAACCCGAAAAAUGAGCUCACGUGAUGCACUUGCAUCUGAUGUCAUUCCUGCUGUGAUCGUGCUUAUGAGACUUCUGACCAAUGAAACGGACGAGGACCAUGGCAUUAAAACCAUGAAGGAGACUUUGGCUGCAGCCGUCAAGAGGCACCUCGGUGACGGGGAAACAAACCCAAUGUACUGCAUCGGGACUCUUCUCAAUCUGAGGUACAAAGAUCGCUUUUUCUCAAACAGUGACACUGCUACAGAGGCCAAGGAGAUGCUGAUGCUGCGCAGGAUGUCCACAGGAGAGGCAGACAAGCAGGAGGAUCUUGGAGAUCCACCUGUCAGAAAGCUUCGUAAGGUGCAAGCCAGCAGCAGUCUGGACAGUUUGAUGAGAUAGCAGGAUGUGGAGGCUCAACAUGGACUCCAGAAUCUUCUGCAGCUUCUACAGGUGCACCAUAGAAAGUAUCCUGACCGGCUGCAUCACCUCCUGGUACGGCAGUUGCACCGUCCUCAACCGUAAGGCUCUACAGAGGGUGGUGAAGACUGCACAGCACCAGGACGAUGCUGCCAUCCAUGGAGGAGCUCUACACCCAGAUCAUUAGGGACUCUCACCACCCCAGCCACAAACUGUUCUGCCUGCUGCCUUCUGGCCGUCGGUACCGCAGCAUCGGUGCCCACACCAGCAGGCUCAGAGACAGUUUCAUCCCCCAGCCCAUAAGACUUUUAAACUCCAAAUAACCUGAACAUUUUGCACAACCCCUCAUUUGCACAUUUUAUACUAUUCUGUCUAUCUUGAUUGUUGUGUGUUCUUUUUGCACUGUUAUUGGGAAUGAGAGACGCAAGCCUUUCACUGCCAGUAAUUGUUUUACGUAAUUUCUAGUAUGUGAAAAUAAAACUCUUGAAUCUUGGA